AUUGAACGCUGGCGGAAUGCUUUACACAUGCAAGUCGAACGGCAGCACGGGGGCAACCCUGGUGGCGAGUGGCGAACGGGUGAGUAAUACAUCGGAACGUGCCCAGUCGUGGGGGAUAACGUAGCGAAAGUUACGCUAAUACCGCAUACGAUCUACGGAUGAAAGCGGGGGACCGUAAGGCCUCGCGCGAUUGGAGCGGCCGAUGUCAGAUUAGGUAGUUGGUGAGGUAAAGGCUCACCAAGCCGACGAUCUGUAGCUGGUCUGAGAGGACGACCAGCCACACUGGGACUGAGACACGGCCCAGACUCCUACGGGAGGCAGCAGUGGGGAAUUUUGGACAAUGGGCGCAAGCCUGAUCCAGCCAUUCCGCGUGCAGGACGAAGGCCUUCGGGUUGUAAACUGCUUUUGUACGGAACGAAAAGGCUCUGGUAAUACCUGGGGCUUAUGACGGUACCGUAAGAAUAAGCACCGGCUAACUACGUGCCAGCAGCCGCCGUAA
rnacentral:rRNA from 1 species